AAACUAAAACUAUUAAUAAGUGAGAGUUUGGGUACGACGAAGGGUAAAAUCGUCAUUUGUACGCUGACAACUAAUUGGCUUCCACUUUUUCAUUCCAUUUCACAUUUCAUGCCCGUUUCUUCCGGAACUUUCUUGUGCCAUCUCCCGGUCAAACAACAAAUGGAGGCUUGUGAAGCUCUGGGUCUCCAUCUCUAAACACACCGAAAUUUCAUGUCUCGAACCCAAGUUCUGUCUGAUAACAGCAAUGGAGAGGCCAAAAACAUCAGAUUUAUAUGAAGCUAUGGGUCUCUAUUAUUAUCGACGGACCAACGGACGGUGGGCGUUCAUCAUCUGAACCUUGGGUCAUGAAAAAUAAAGAAAUGCUUAUCUCUUUCACCCACUAGGGGUACAUCGGAAUUUGGACCUCUCAUCCUUGUUUCCAGUAGAUGAAGAUUCAAAUGUUCAAUCACAGUCGGACAUGAGCUCCAGUAUAUUUACGUUUUAAUAUGUAACUGCAAACAAAAAAAGAAGUCCAAUCAGAAGAGUAAGUUAUUAUGUGAAAAUGCAAUCAACAAAAGGUGUUGAAUCCAGGUUCUCUCUAGGAGUUUGUUUCGUAUAUCCAUGCCAGCUUCUCCAUCUGUUCUUACUCAUUUCUGGGGCUCAGGAGGACUCUCCUUUUUUUCUCUUCUUUAAUCUCUCUCUCCAAAUACCCUUGAGUAAUCAUUGAAGUGGAUUAUGCACCCAAGAUGUUUGAUGAUAUUUGCCUGACUCCUCUUAUUUGCAGUAAUGAGAGGCUUGGUUGAAUUAGACUUGGAGGAAACAUUUGAGUAUUUUGCUGAAGUAGUUUGUAUGGAACAAGAAGGCUGAGUGCUAUAGAUACUCUCUCCAAAAUUCACAUGCAUCCUGAUCGGUGAGAUAAAAUUGAAUAUGGAGGAAGAAAAUAUUUCUCAGUCCUGCUAAAUUUUCAAAUAUUCUAUCUUGGUGAGGAUAUAAACCAUUGGCUCUAUUAUUUUUGCAUUUAUGCUUUAUUUUUCUUUUUAAUUCAAUGUAUAAGCAGUUUUUUUGUUUACAAGUAUAUGAUUUUUCCCCUUUUUAAUUUUUUAUGGGUAGAUUCUGAUUCAAGUAUAUGUGUGUUGUUUUUACUGUUUGAACGCUUCUACACUAGCCACAUCAGUUGCCAUCUUGGCAAAAAAAUCUAAUUAAAAGGGAAGAACUUUGUGCAGUUAAGGACGAUAUGCCUAACCCCAUAGGUGACUUUAACAUAAAUAUCUUUCCUUUUGCAAGGCCAUAACUUUUGAUACACAAAAAUAGAUUAUUUGAAAGAUGUUAUGCGGCGUAUCCUUUAUUGGGAAUCUAUUUUCAAAUUCAUUUGUAUCUAAAAGAAUGAAGCUUUUCAUGAAGAAAAUGAUUAUGGAUAAUUCUUUCAUGGUGUCCUACAUUUUGAUUGUGCUACAAUUAGUAAUGUUGCUUUGUCAAGAAUUCAUCAUUAGCUGAAAGUUCGUCCUAUCUCUUUGUCUGGUGAAUCUAUUUAAAUAGUAAGGUCUACAUGAUUAAUUUCAUUGAUUUUUCUGCUUUUAUUUGAUAUCUAGCUCAGUAAAAAUGUGCAUCCGGGUGAUCCUUCUAAUAUGUUUGUGAACUUAAUGGUGAUCAAAUGUAGUACUUUGAUAUUUGAACUCCUUGCUAGCCUCUCUAUUUUCAUUGUAUAAAUGAAAUUUGUUUUUUCUGUUUUCGUAUUUUCCUGGUGAUAUGUGACUUCUAAAACUAGGUUACUUUAUUAUUCGUUAAUUCAUGAGAUAGAUUCAUUGACUCCCCCGCGUUGUUUAUGCGGCACCAAGGUCAUAGUAUGUUGACUAUGUUCUGUUGUCGCUCAGAGGCAUGUUCAUAUGAAGAGGUAAGAGAAUGAAAUUCUUGCUUCCCCAAUAGACUAUAAAAGUUUCUUCAGGUUACUUUAAUUGUAAUACUAAUGGACGUGAUAUUUCAUUUACUGAAAUUUCGAUAUUUAUAGUAUAUAAAAGGAGUGGAAAGUUCCUACUGGUUUGGGGCAUAUUGGUAUAUUAUUCAUGAGGAAAUGGCUGCAAGAAGACAACAACAUAACACGAGAGAACUUUGUCAUAAAGUAAAAGGAGUGGGAGGUUCCUACAGGUUCGGGGCAAAUUGGCAUAUUAUUCAUGAGGAAAUGGCUACAAGAAGACAACAACGUAACACGAGAGAACUUUGAUGUUUAAGUAAUAAUAUACUCCUCUUUUCCAUUUUUCAGUGUAAUGAUUUCUUCUACAUUUAUUAUGUAUUACAUAUACUUCUGAUAUUGAGUUUUCUAUUAAAGGGUUCUAUAAAUGAAGAAUCUUUGAGUUCCAAAAUGCCUCUGGUAUGUGCAUUAUUUCAUUCAGUUCUGUUGAGUUUUUCUAUUAGUGCUUUUCUCAUUGCACCCGAUUAGCUAGCGGGAUUUUAGUGCGUAAUAAGUAGUUUUUCCGUACCUUUCGGUAGUUUCUUGUAAUUUUAAUUUCACACACAUGGCUAUUGAUAUCCAGUUUGCAUACUAAUGCAUCGAGGGUGUUUGGUAAUAUACCUAAAUCAACUCUUUUUCAAUAGCUUUUCUCUUUUGACAGUUUUUCUAUACUCCUGCAAUUUGAAAGGUGACUUUCCGUUGUAAAUUGAGCCAUGAAAUGAUGAACUACCCUCCGCUGAUAGUAUACACUGUCAGUAAUCAAGACGGGAACAACAUUACUGACAAACCAAUCUUGGACUAUAUCAUGAAGUCUCUUGGUCCAGAUUGUUUCUCCGCCUCUUCAAUGAGAAGAUCAGUUGGCGUUAUUACAGGAAUGCGCCACACCUUAAUUAAGUUUAACUGAAAGUGAGAGGCCCGGUCUACCAUCUGAAGUAAGUGCUUCCAUCACCAGUCUUAAAUGAAAUAUGGUGACUGAUGAAGUGUCGAACUGUAGUCCCGGAGCAAAAGCUAUAUUGCAAGUUAAUGAUGAGGAAAAUGGGGUUGGAAUUGCUGACCGAGAAAAGUUGUCUUGAUCAAGCAACCCCGACGCAAUGUUCUUAGACGUAGUAGAAAUUCAAGAGAUGUGACGACAUUUGGUAUAUCAGGGGGCCUCUCACACUGAGAGAAGGCUUGACUUGCUGAUGAUUGUAGACGGGGACUAUGAACAUGCAGCAGAGGAUCAGAUGAUAAAGAAAGGCCAGAUAUGUUGUUAAUUGGCAAGACACCGACUACUCAGUAGUGCCUAUUUGGUGCAAGGAUAGACUAAAACUUAUGUUGUGUAUGAUUUGUAGUUUGGCAGGUAUGCAACAUGUGGUUUUCCAUAGCAACGUCUAUGCUAAAGUACCAGAAACUUACUAGGAACACGGCUAUGAUUCUGCUCAAAUUUCCAUUGAUUCCUCAAAUCUCACUUCAGAGGCCACAUCUUCCUCUGCUUUUGUCUCUGUUGUCUUUCAUAAAGAAGGCACUAUUUAAUCACUAGCCAAAUCUGUCAAUCAAGCUUCACUUUGGAGUUCAAACUCUUCAGCUCCCAUAUGAGAAUCACGUUGAUGUUAUCUUUUAAGCAUGCAAAUAAAGCUCAUGCUUCCAGCUGGCAUGAAUUUUUCCAAAGUUCUGAUAUUUUUGUCAAGCUAAUUUAUGGAGUGGUCAAUUUUCGAAAGAGAUGGUGCUUCUUUUGUUCCUUAUGUAAAUGGGUUUUCUCAUUGAAGAUGAAGAAUGUACGACUUCACAAUCUUGUACAACUUUGUUCCUUAGUGUGUAAAUAUUAUGAAGUGUUAAAAGCUGAAACAAGUAGAAGUAUUCUCUUGGUGUUAGGAUCUUUUUAGUAUUCUUGUAACUGCCCAAAUAAUCAAAACAGUAAUGUUGGGCAUACGCCCGUGCACAGCACGGGCACGGGCCAUCUAGUGUCAUGAAUAAGAAUUAGUGACGUUCACAUGCUGAAACAAAUUUUGUCACAAACACUCAUUUGCAAUACUAUAGCAAAUUUGUUUACUUUGUAUGCAACACCACUUAUUUGCUAUUGAUCUUUCAAUCAAAAAUUGCUCGUUAUUACUAGGCAAAAAUGUUUUUAAGCCCUUUACAAAAAAAAAAUUUAUGAUCCUUUUACAUGAGAUCUCAUUUUGCAUAUAGUCAGAGCUCUUUAUAACGUCAUCCUCAUACCUUUCUAUAACAGGCAAGUUUUUUUCAGAAACAAUUUUUUAUGUUAUAUUCUACUUUUCGAUUUAUAACAGUUUUUUUACCUAUAACAAUACUAAUCAUCUGUAUAGCAGUUCACUUUUUGUAAAAUUACCUCUAUAUAACAUCUAUCUUUUUUUUUUUUUGGGUAAUAUAAUGAUUAAUCAUAUAUCUUUAUAGAAAUAGAAUAUCUAAGAGUAUCAAUAAUAGGUAUAGAGAUUUUGACCAAAUAUUUUGAUACUUUAAUACACUAAAUCUAUUUAUGGUGGGGGAGCAAGUCUUGUUGAAGGUUUCACCCAUGAAGGGUGUCAUGAGAUUUGGGAAGAGAGGUAAGUUGAGUCCCAGGUAUAUCGGCCCAUUUGAGAUCCUUCGUCGUAUUGGCGAGGUUGCAUAUGAGUUGGCCUUGCCACCAGGCCUGUCAGGUGUUUAUCCAGUUUUUCAUGUUUCUAUGUUGAAGAAGUACCAUUCAGACAGGUCUUAUAUUAUUCACUGGGAUUCGGUGUUGCUAGAUGAGAAUCUGUCAUAUGAGGAAGAACCUGUAGCAAUAUUAGAUAGGCAGGUUAGAAAGUUGCGGACCAAAGAAAUAGCCUCCGUGAAAGUUCAAUGGAAGGAUCGUCCGGUGGAGGAAGCUACUUGGGAGACUGAGGCAGAUAUGCGGAGUAGAUACCCUCAGUUAUUUGGCGGUUCAGUGCAGAGUACGAGAUCGGUACCACUUCUGUACCUCGACAUUGAUCCCGAGGCUAUCUGCGGAGUUUGCUAGGAUGUAAGUAUACUAA